rnacentral:rRNA from 1 species
UACGGAGGGCGCGAGCGUUAAUAGGAAUUACUGGGCGUAAAGGGUGCGUAGGUUGUUAGAUAGGUUAUCUGUGAAAUACCUGGGCUUAACCUGGGCAGGUCAGAUGAGACUGUAUAACUAGAGUAUGGGAGAGGGUAGUGGAAUUUCCGGUGUAGCGGUGAAAUGCGUAGAGAUCGGAAGGAACACCAGUGGCGAAGGCGGCUAACUGGCCUAAUACUGACACUGAGGCACGAAAGCGUGGGGAGCAAACAGG